AACCGGAUUGGACGGAGCACGCCGCGUGAGUGAUGAAGGCUUUCGGGUCGUAAAACUCUGUUGUUAGGGAAGAACAAGUGCUAGUUGAAUAAGCUGGCACCUUGACGGUACCUAACCAGAAAGCCACGGCUAACUACGUGCCAGCAGCCGCGGUAAUACGUAGGUGGCAAGCGUUAUCCGGAAUUAUUGGGCGUAAAGCGCGCGCAGGUGGUUUCUUAAGUCUGAUGUGAAAGCCCACGGCUCAACCGUGGAGGGUCAUUGGAAACUGGGAGACUUGAGUGCAGAAGAGGAAAGUGGAAUUCCAUGUGUAGCGGUGAAAUA
rnacentral:rRNA from 1 species